UUUUUUUUUUUUUUUUUUUUAAUCUUUUUGGCAAGCUCUGGAAAAAGGCUUGUUUCCUGGCAGGAGAAAAAGCCAGCCUUGGCUUCAAGCAGCCACUGACAAUUCCCAGCAUAUGGUAAGAGAGGGAGCUUCCGCCUACCCCAUCAGAGGAAAUAAGACUAAAGGCCCCAAGUUCCUGCUUCCUGCAUCUGAAAGAAGCUAGGUCAUGAUUUUGCAAAAAGGACCAAGAAAUAAAUUUUGUGACCAAUUGACAAGGACCUUACAGAAAAGGAAGUUUCUUUCACAGCCUUACAUUCCUGCUCACCUUAGCCCUUGGAUGUAUUGAUGGGAAUCCCAAAUAGAAGGAAUUUACCUGCUGCUAAUCUGGGGACCACAGGGCUUAGCCUGUGGUACAUAUAUUUGAAAGCUACUUUUAGAAAACAUUUUGGAAGACACGAAGCCUAUAUACUUCAGACAAGAAGCCUAAUAACUUGGGGCAAAGACCAACUGAAAAUCAAUUCCACAUGUCUGAGGCUUCUGCACUCUAGCUGAUAAGGCAGAACCUGGUGUUUCAACAAAAUUUUUGUAAUAACCAUUGACAACUAUACAGAGACUGUGAUUAUGUAAAUGACUGACUAAAAUUUUAUGAGCAUAACUGUAGCAAUGAAAUACUUUAAACUAAUUUUUGAGGACAUUUAUGUGUUGGUGCUUGCACAAGGUGUGGACUAUAAGGCCACUAUCCCUUCAAGACUAGACUGAGAUGUUUUCAGUUGAUGACAAUUCACUGCUAUUAUUAUACUUGUAAAUCACAGCUUGUCUUCAUCCCUGCAGAUCAAAAAGAGAGUAAUUUCUAUUUUAUAGGGGAUUACUUGUACUACUUGUCUCCUAGAUCUACUCUAUGAUCUAUGGAGUGCAUUUCUGUCUGGAAUUAUUUUUUUCUGCUUGGGAAUUAUACUUUUCCUAUGAGCCACGCAGGGGCUCCUGAUAUCUUGCAAAGACGAGUGAAAGGUCUAACUCUUGCUCACUUUGGGGUACUUAAAUGAAACAUCUGAGCCUGGAGUCCUGGCUGUAUGACAGAGGGACAAUACCAGGUGGGAACCAGUUCUGAAUUUCAUCGUGAGAAUUUCAUUCAUUUUCUGGAUGAAAAGAGAAAAACAAAAACAAAACAAAAACAAAACCGUAAAAUAAUAGCUCAGUAAAACAACCAAGAAGUAAAGGAGAAAAAAGGGACAACUGUCUCAGUAUUUCUCAGAGGAGAAGUGCAGCUCACUGGGUAUUUUCAUCCUCUGACUGCUCCCUCUGCUGCCUGUGAGGCAGCUGGAGGGGAGCUGACAAAGCUGUGCGGCCCCUGCAUGGCUGCCCAGGUGGGCUCUGCAUCCCUCUUCCUCACCCUGCUCUCAGCAUUAGAGAUGCCGACAGUUACUAGAUAAAGUUAAAGACUCAUGUAGUGAUCUUCACACUAAUUGGACUGUAAUGUAUAGCCUCGGUCAAGCAAAUCUCUCCCAGCACUCCUCUCCACAGACGGCAAUCAAGCCAUUUACAGAAGAUGCAUCGGCUGCUGGGACCCUGGAGUAACCUUAAACUGCACUGGCCUUUUAGCAGAAAACACAAUUAAUUUUGAUACUGAAGGGCAAUUAGGACUGGGGUUAAAAUAAAAAAUCUUCUGAACAGAGAAUGUCAAAGACUGGUAAGGAAACUAUUUCCCUUGUACACAGUGCGUUGAAGGUCUGUAAGCACAGCAACUGUCAGCUCACGUUAAUUCAGAUCACUUUGUAAUCCCCCCAUUUCAAUGGAAGAUAUGUUAAUUUAGAUUAAUAAGCACUGUAUUCAAACCCCACUAAGACUGAUAGGUAUUUUAGUUAAGUCUUUGCUGCUGGAAUGAGCACAGCUUCUCAUACUUUGCUGGGGAAACCUGUUUUACAUCCCAGAAUUAAGUGAAAAAACCAAAUGCAUUUAUUUUGUUCUGUUUCAUUUCCAAAAGAAAAUGGUCUCCCAGCUGACACUCUGCAGAUCACAGCUUAGAGCAAAUCAUGUCAGCAACUCUAUAAACUUCUCUUUAGAAGCACAGAAGAUGUUCACAGUAAUACAUAUCUACAUGCACCCACAUGUCCUGACAUAUGUGCAAGGCAGCCAAAAUUUUGACCUCACCUGUGCAAACUGCUUAGGUCUCUAUCACUCUCCAUAACUCAAGCAAAUGCAUCGGGCUUGUUAGUUUUGAUUUUUUUUUUUUUCCUUCAUUUUUCCUCCCACAGCAAUCACUUAACACUCAAUGAAGCCAGUGAGUGUCAUUGGCACAACUUAAGUACGGUUGCUUAUCUCUAAGGACAGUGAUAUUCACAGUGGAAAUUUUCAAUACCCAUUUUGUUUAAGAACUAGAGAUAAAAGAUGAAUGCUCAGGAAUCGUAUGUGAAAUCCUGAUCCAGCAACAUUCAGAUUAGGCAAAGUUCUUUAGGCAAAGAUUUCAGAAGUAUCAGCCAAUAAUUGUUACUGAAGAUAUUUCUGGGGACAAAUACUGAGUGAAGCUAGGCAUUUUCUCAAACUGUACAUGAGUAUUUGUCACUGACAACCCAAGAAAAAGUGCAUAGCUUCAAUAUAAAUAAUCUCAAUAAAGCCAUGCUUCUGGCUAGUGUAUGAGAAAGCAAUGAGGGACAUUUUAGGGUGUUCCCAAGGGAUAGGAUGUUGGUGAAUCUUUUCCUCAAAACACCCCCUGAACAUGCAGAUCUUCACAGUGUCCACUAAGGUGUUGUAACCCCCAGAUGGUACCUGUGCAACAAGGCCAGCACAAC